rnacentral:rRNA from 1 species
AGAGUUUGAUCCCGGCUCAGAAUCAACGCUGGCGGCGCGCUUAACACAUGCAAGUCGCACGAGAAAGGGGAGCAAUCCCUGAGUACAGUGGCGUACGGGUGAGUAACACGUGGAUGACCUGCCCUCUGGUGGGGAAUAACCCUGGGAAACCGGGGCUAAUACCGCAUAAGUCCGGGAGGAGAAAGCCGAAAGGCGCCGGAGGAGGGGUCCGCGGCCGAUUAGCUAGUUGGAGAGGUAACGGCUCCCCAAGGCAAAGAUCGGUAGCCGGCCUGAGAGGGCACACGGCCACACUGGCACUGAAACACGGGCCAGACUCCUACGGGAGGCAGCAGUGGGGAAUCUUGCACAAUGGGGGAAACCCUGAUGCAGCGACGCCGCGUGAGCGAUGAAGCCCUUCGGGGUGUAAAGCUCUUUCGGCGGGAACGAAAGCAAUGACGGUACCCGCAGAAGAAGCUGCGGCUAACUACGUGCCAGCAGCCGCGGUAAUACGUAGGCAGCGAGCGUUGUUCGGAGUUACUGGGCGUAAAGAGUAUGUAGGCGGUUCUGCAAGUUUGGCGUGAAAUCUCCCGGCUCAACUGGGAGGGUGCGUCGAAAACUGCAGGGCUUGAGUGCGGGAGAGGAAAGCGGAAUUCCUGGUGUAGCGGUGAAAUGCGUAGAUAUCAGGAGGAACACCGGCGGUGUAGACGGCUUUCUGGACCGCGACUGACGCUGAGAUACGAAAGCGUGGGUAGCAAACAGGAUUAGAUACCCUGGUAGUCCACGCCCUAAACGAUGCACACUUGGUGUGGGCAGUUCAGUCUGUCCGUGCCGGAGCUAACGCGUUAAGUGUGCCGCCUGGGGAGUACGGUCGCAAGGCUGAAACUCAAAGGAAUUGACGGGGGCCCGCACAAGCGGUGGAGCAUGUGGUUCAAUUCGACGCAACGCGAAGAACCUUACCUGGGCUCGAACGGCUCACGCAAGUCCUUGGAAACAGGGAUUUCCCGCAAGGGACGGGAGUCGAGGUGCUGCAUGGCUGUCGUCAGCUCGUGUCGUGAGAUGUUGGGUUAAGUCCCGCAACGAGCGCAACCCUUGUCCUGUGUUGCCAUGCCGAAAGGCGGAACUCGCAGGAGACCUCCAGCGAUAAGCUGGAGGAAGGUGGGGAUGACGUCAAGUCAUCAUGGCCUUUAUGUCCAGGGCUACACACGUGCUACAAUGGCCGGUACAAACCGCUGCGAAGUCGCGAGACGGAGCUAAUCGGAGAAAGCCGGUCUCAGUUCGGAUUGCAGGCUGCAACUCGCCUGCAUGAAGCUGGAAUCGCUAGUAAUGGCGCAUCAGCACGGCGCCGUGAAUACGUUCCCGGGCCUUGUACACACCGCCCGUCACAUCACGAAAGUGGAUUGUACUAGAAGUCCGCAGGCCGACCGCAAGGGGGCAGCGGCCCAAGGUAUGAUCCAUGAUUGGGGUGAAGUCGUAACAAGGUA